GGAAACACAACAGAUAAAAUAGUCAUCCAUCUUGCAUGAUUUAUUCUUUUUGGAAAUGCGAAGCUGGAAUGCUGACUUGUAUCCGAGUUCUAAAAUACUUCAACUCACUGACUAGGUGACAUUACAAGGAGUGCUUGAGUUCUAAAAUACUUCAACUCACUGACUAGGUGACAUUACAAGGAGUGCUUGCUUCCCGUUGGUCAUUUCGCACAUAAAGAUGAAAAAGGGUAACAAGGUUCAUAAUCUCUAUAGAUAGAUGUGUAUGACUAUUUCAGAACCUCAAUGAGAUUCCAACUGUAGGCGUAAUGAGCAACUUCAUCGUCAAGCCGACUUUUUGCCACCGAAGAGGAGAUUCCAACUGUAG
rnacentral:lncRNA from 1 species